CCUCGGGACGCUGCAGUAAAGAAUCUUCCGCAAUGGGGGCAACCCUGACGGAGCGACACCGCGUGGUGGAUGACACAUUUCGGUGCGUAAACUCCUUUUAUAUGAGAAGAUAAUGACGGUAUCAUAUGAAUAAGCACCGGCUAACUCCGUGCCAGCAGCCGCGGUAAUACGGGGGGUGCAAGCGUUACGCGGAAUCACUGGGCGUAAAGAGCAUGUAGGUGGAUUAAUAAGUUGGAAGUGAAAUCCUAUAGCUUAACUAUAGAACUGCUUCCAAAACUGUUGAUCUAGAAUGUGGGAGAGGUAGAUGGAAUUUCUGGUGUAGGGGUAAAAUCCGUAGAGAUCAGAAGGAAUACCGAUUGCGAAGGCGAUCUACUGGAACACUAUUGACACUCAGAUGCGAAAGCGUGGGGAGCAAACAGGAUUAGAUACCCGUGUAGUC
rnacentral:rRNA from 1 species